CCUGAAUUGCUAGCGCCGGCGGCGGCGGAACCACGGUCUCCAGUACCGGCGGCGGUGGAUCUGGAGGUGGCCGAUCGGCGGUUAGACGUUCGAAUCCUGGCGCCUGACCCGACAUCGACGCUCAACCAGAGCUGAAGUUUGGUUGGGUGUGAGCGCACGGGAAGAGGAGUACAAGCAGCAGAGGCGGGAACUCGGCGACCAGCUCAGGCUCGGGUGGCGAUUCCACCAACGAAGGGUAAGGAGCGGCGAUUCCACCAGCUGCUGGGAAGGAGCGACUUCACCAACACCCUGGGCGGCUGAAUCACACAGGUGAGCGGUGGCGCGAGUGAAGGUCGCACAGGUGGGCGGCGGCGGCAUAGGUUGGCGCCGAAAUCGCACGGGUGGGCGGCGGCGGAGGAAUCAUGCACAUUGGCGCCGAGAUCAUGCGGGUGGGCGGAGGCAGGUGGGCUGCAAGCGCUGGAAUCACCAACACGGCGGCGGAAUCCGACCGCGCCGGCCCCUAGCAACGCACGGGCGACAAGCGGAGGCAGAAGGAGACCGGGCUGUUUUGUCAGAUCUUUGGAAGUAUGAGGUUACUUGCAAAAUAUUCGGUGUACCUAGCACCGACAAGCUUUACCGGACAGAGGGAGUAGCUAGCUACCCCACAUGCUGUAAAUUGUAAAUUUAAUAUUCUUGAUCGACUUCAAGCUGAAGGUCAGCCAUUUGAAACGUGACCUGGCUUAGAGUGAGCGCUAAACUGGGGGUCAAUUUUAGAAGAAAAAACCCGGAUAACUCUACUCAAGAUGUUGUAAUACCGUAGUUCUAUAAUAUAUAAAUAGUACUCUCUCUGUCCCAUAAUAUAAGAGCAUUUUUCACACUAGUGUAGAUCAUGUGAGAGACAUA